rnacentral:tRNA from 1 species
GCCUGGAUGGCUCAAUUGGUUGAGCAGCUGACUUCAACUCAGGUCAUGAUCUCACAGUUCAUGAAUUCAAGCCCCAUAUCGGGCU